rnacentral:rRNA from 1 species
CCAGGGCAUGCCUUAGUAGCGGCGAGUGAGCGGCAAAAGCUCAAAUUUGAAAUCUGGCACUUUCAGUGUCCGAGUUGUAAUUUGAAGAAGGUAUCUUUGGGUCUGGCUCUUGUCUAUGUUUCUUGGAACAGAACGUCACAGAGGGUGAGAAUCCCGUGCGAUGAGAUGACCCAGACCUAUGUAAAGUUCCUUCGAAGAGUCGAGUUGUUUGGGAAUGCAGCUCUAAGUGGGUGGUAAAUUCCAUCUAAAGCUAAAUAUUGGCGAGAGACCGAUAGCGAACAAGUACAGUGAUGGAAAGAUGAAAAGAACUUUGAAAAGAGAGUGAAAAAGUACGUGAAAUUGUUGAAAGGGAAGGGCUUGAGAUCAGACUUGGUAUUUUGUAUGUUACUCUUUCGGGGGUGGCCUCUACAGUUUACCGGGCCAGCAUCAGUUUGGGCGGUAGGAGAAUUGCAAAGAAAUGUGGCACUGCUUCGGUAGUGUGUUAUAGUCUUUGUCGAUACUGCCAGCCUAGACUGAGGACUGCGGCUUCGGCCUAGGAUGUUGGCAUAAUGAUCUUAAGUCGCCCGUCUUGACCC